rfam:Cavia porcellus supercont2_4 genomic scaffold, whole genome shotgun sequence.
GGGGAUUUAGCUCAGCGGCAUAAGCGCCUGCCUUGCAAGCAGGCGGUCGUGAGUUCGAUCCUCGAUACCGUUA